rnacentral:tRNA from 1 species
GGAGAGGUGCCCGAGCGGUCGAAGGGGCACGCCUGGAGAGCGUGUGUACCGUUCACCGGUACCGUGGGUUCGAAUCCCACCCUCUCCG